CCUAGAGAAAAAUGCGCAUUCAGAAGUGGGCUGCCAUCCUGCUUUUUCUGAAGUGAACAGCUGCUGGGUAUUGAAACCAGCCCUCACGGUUGGGUCCCUGCCACCAUGGCAACACUCUGGUUUCUGAGCUGGAGUGGCCAAGGCACAAUGGGGUGGUUCCAUGGCCCAGAAGCACUCUAGCUACAGAUUAGAAUGAUGACAAGAGUAAUACCUUCCUAGUGAAGAUGACUUUUAUUUCAGGACUAUAUUAAGUUUCCCAACUUCUGUCAUGAUAUAGUCCAAAGAGAACCUGGACCACGCAGACAUCAAACAGAACAUGACACUGACCCAUUCUAUCAGUGACGUUGUGCUGAUUGCACAGGACAGAUGAGAGGCUCGUAUACUAGAAGUCUUGUUAUCCACAGAAGGAAUGAUCUGCAAUGUACACACGCCAGGACAGAAAUUCUACAGUUGCUGAUAAAAUGUAAACCUAUCACCCCACCACCAGGGUCCCUGCUUCUCCUGUAAGGGAAUCAUUAUAGAAAAAAAUUAAGAGGCUUGAGAAAAUCAGAAGUUCAUAAAGGAAGAAAGGAAAGAAAUUAUAGGAAGCAGGAAGAGCUCUGGGGAGCUGUUUUCGGGAGCAAAUAUCCAGAAUGAACACCUUGACUCAUGGCUGCAUCUGCAAGGAAGAUGGGACAUCCAUUCUCACUUGUACACAGGCUAUGGGUUGUCCGGAGCCCUGAGCUGAAGACAGGCCUGCUGCUGAUCCCAGAGACAGAUGGCCAGAGUUAGGAACAGCAUGCACAAAGAAGAUCCUAAGCCUUCCUGGAGAAGUGCCAAUAUCAUCAUUUGGGGGUCUUAAAGCCAAGCUGGGGAAUAAGCGUUAUGGGGAAUGCUGAGAAGGAGAUGUUUAAUCAAGUGUGUAGGUUUAGGACUUCAGUCAAAGGGCUGCUUUUUUGCUGCUCUCAGGCAGUUUUCACUGCAUGCCUUCACCUCUGGUAUCUUCAAAGCACUCCUUGGCUUGUGCCAUUAAUACUUUACCUAAGAUUUUUAGAAAUUCUGUCUGGUCAUAUGCUACAUCCUACUUGUAUUGAAAGAACCCUUAGGAUUUCCCCUUUAUUGCUAUACAUCUCUUUAAGUCUCUUAUCUUUAGAGACUAAAGUAAAAUUUGGUCCUUUAAUAAUCAUAAUAAACAGGUAAUCAUACUUACCUGUUUCUUGAUUUGACCUGAGAACAUCUUAAGCAAAGCUUGUUAGAAAGUGAGUUAAAGCGUGGCUCUUUAGUCUGGAGCCUGUGAAGGAUGUUACAGUUGCUGGAAAUAGACAAGCAGGCUUUGUUUGCAUUGAACCACAGCAAUGUCUCAUGCUCUUCCUUGUUCUCUAUUUAGCACUUCAUCUUCAUCUAAUCUCUAACAAAGCAUGGUCUGUGGCAGGCAGUCUGUGGUAAGCACAGUGAAUCAGCCUACCCUUCUGGAAGGUGACAGCAGUGAGGAGUGUCUAAAUAUUUAUUUCAAAUAUAAUCUAUCCUGUAGUCCUCCACAUUCAAAGAUUUUCCAAUUUAAAAUAUCCAUGGCCAGGGGGUCGGUUCCAAGAUGGCCGAAUAGGAACAGCUCCAGUCUACAGCUCCCAGUGUGAGUGACACAGAAGAUGGGUGAUUUCUGCAUUUCCAACUGAGGUACCAGGUUCAUCUCACUGGGGCUUGUCAGACAGCGGGUGCAGGACAGUGGGUGUAGCACACCGAGCGUGAGCCGAAGCAGGGCAAGGCAUCACCUCACCCCAGAAGUGCAAGGGGUCAGGGAAUUCCCUUUACUAGCCAAGCAAAGUUGUGACAGAUGGCACCUGGAAAAUCAGCUCACUCCCACCCUAAUACUGUGCUUUUCCAAUGGUCUUAGCCAAUGGCACACCAGGAGAUUAUAUCCCAUGCCUGGCUCAGAGGGUCCCAAGCCCAC
rnacentral:lncRNA from 10 species